rnacentral:rRNA from 1 species
GUGCCAGCAGCCGCGGUAAUACGAACCGUCCAAACGUUAUUCGGAAUCACUGGGCUUAAAGGGUACGUAGGCGGCGCUGUUAGUCGGGUGUGAAAUCCCUCGGCUCAACCGAGGAAUUGCGUCCGAUACUGCAGUGCUUGAGGGAGACAGAGGUAAGCGGAACUGAUGGUGGAGCGGUGAAAUGCGUUGAUAUCAUCAGGAACACCGGUGGCGAAAGCGGCUUACUGGGUCUCUUCUGACGCUGAGGUACGAAAGCUAGGGGAGCGAAGGGGAUUAGAAACCCCCGUAGUCC